rnacentral:rRNA from 1 species
AACGAACGCUGGCGGCAUGCCUAAUACAUGCAAGUCGAACGAUCACUUCGGUGGUAGUGGCGCACGGGUGCGUAACGCGUGGGAAUCUGCCCUUGGGUUCGGAAUAACGUCGGGAAACUGACGCUAAUACCGGAUGAUGACGUAAGCCCAAAGAUUUAUCGCCCAGGGAUGAGCCCGCGUAGGAUUAGCUAGUUGGUGGGGUAAAGGCCUACCAAGGCGACGAUCCUUAGCUGGUCUGAGAGGAUGAUCAGCCACACUGGGACUGAGACACGGCCCAGACUCCUACGGGAGGCAGCAGUAGGGAAUAUUGGACAAUGGGGGCAACCCUGAUCCAGCAAUGCCGCGUGAGUGAUGAAGGCCUUAGGGUUGUAAAGCUCUUUUACCCGGGAUGAUAAUGACAGUACCGGGAGAAUAAGCCCCGGCUAACUCCGUGCCAGCAGCCGCCGUAA